UGGAGCUGCCUUGCCCCUCCCCUCCGUCCUUCAUCCUGUUAUUUGUGGAAGGGGUUAGCUGCCUGGGUGGCCAAAGGCGUUGAAUCUGGAGUCUCUCAUGACCGCCGUGUUUGCUCCCCUGGCUUGUUGGCUGGGAGAGUACACUGUAAAGAAUGAUUUGCCUCUCACUUUGCUCACUCCAUUCAUUCAUUAAAUGUGGACCAGAUGGAACAAAGAAUCCCUUAUCGACCUACGGGCUCCACCUGAGACAUGACAUCCACAUGUGCUUCUUCUUUGGUUUCGAUCCGGCUUCAGCCAUCUUGCCGGGAGUGAAGUAAUGUUUUAGACUGCCUGUUCUGAGAUGAGAAAAGAACGGAGAGAAGACAUCAUGCUAGAAAUACCUUCAGCUUAAAGCAUCUGUCAAGGAUGGGGAAUAGACAGGACAGGAGAAUAAAAGUGAUGCCACAAGAGUCAAAGGAUUUAAACUGUUAAAAAAUCACAACCCCACAAUACAAGGAUUUCUUAUUUUUCAGUGUUGGCAUUGUGACCUUGCACAUUAUUUGCUCCUUCCCCAAAAUAUCAAACACCUAAUAUGUUCCAGACAAUGAAACACAGGGCCUGUAUGCAAGACAUUUACAAUUGAGUAAUCACAUAAAUUAUUUCUAUCUACAACUGGUUUGCUGGUGACAGAGAGGCAAUAGGACAUCCUGAGAGGAGA